UAGUGGCGAACGGGUGAGUAACACGUGGGCAAUCUGCCCUUCACUCUGGGACAAGCCCUGGAAACGGGGUCUAAUACCGGAUAUCACUCCUGCAGGCAUCUGCGGGAGUUGAAAGCUCCGGCGGUGAAGGAUGAGCCCGCGGCCUAUCAGCUUGUUGGUGAGGUAAUGGCUCACCAAGGCGACGACGGGUAGCCGGCCUGAGAGGGCGACCGGCCACACUGGGACUGAGACACGGCCCAGACUCCUACGGGAGGCAGCAGUGGGGAAUAUUGCACAAUGGGCGAAAGCCUGAUGCAGCGACGCCGCGUGAGGGAUGACGGCCUUCGGGUUGUAAACCUCUUUCAGCAGGGAAGAAGCGAAAGUGACGGUACCUGCAGAAGAAGCGCCGGCUAACUACGUGCCAGCAGCCGCGGUAAUACGUAGGGCGCAAGCGNUGUCCGGAAUUAUUGGGCGUAAAGAGCUCGUAGGCGGCUUGUCACGUCGGGUGUGAAAGCCCGGGGCUUAACCCCGGGUCUGCAUUCGAUACGGGCUAGCUAGAGUGUGGNAGGGGAGAUCGGAAUUCCU
rnacentral:rRNA from 1 species